GGAUUAAUUGGAAUACAUGUGAGGUAAAUAUUAAGGGGUGGAGAAGGAGGUGGUGGACUAGGUGGAGGCGGACUUGGAGAAGGAGGAGGUGGACUAGGUGGAGGAGGGCUAGGAGGAGGAGGAGGCGGACUACGAGGAGGAGGAGGCGGACUACGAGGAGGUGGAGGCGGGCUACGAGGAGGAGGUGGGGGAGAACGAGGAGGUGGAGGCGGACUACGAGGAGGUGGAGGAGGUCUUCGAGGAGGAGGUGGAGGAGAACGAGGAGGAGGAGGAGGACGAACAGGAGGACGACGACGAAGAAUUAGAGAACGCUCAUUGAACACCUUUUGGACAGCCUCCACAAUAUAUUCUUUUGGAUAAGCCAAGCUAUCACUUGCAAUAAUCCCACUUGUUUCCAAGUAAUUGAACAAGUUGCCUUGUUCAGGCAUGUAGUUGAUCUCUAUUGCUUUGUCAAAGUAUUCUUGUGGUGUUGUUCCUCCACAU